GCGGAGCUUGCGUCCGGCUGACGAGUGGCGCACGGGUGCGUAACGCGUAUACAAUCUACCUUUUACAGGGGUAUAGCCUUUACAAAUGAAGAAUAAUCCCCCAUAAUAUCUUAUUAGUGGCAUCAUUAAAAGAUUAAAGCUUCGGGGGUAAGAGAUGAGUAUGCGUUCUAUUAGCUAGUAGGUGAGGUAACGGCUCACCUAGGCGACAAUAGAUAGGGGCCCUGAGAGGGGGAUCCCCCCCCCUGGUACUGAGACACGGACCAAACUCCUACGGGAGGCAGCAGUGAGGAAUAUUGGACAGUGGGGGCAAGCCUGAUCCUCCCAUCGCCGCGUGCAGGAAGACUGCCCUAUGGGUUGUAAGCUGCUUUUAUAUAGAGAAGAAACCAUUCCACGUGUAGAGUGCUGACGGUACUAUAAAAAUAAGCAUCGGC
rnacentral:rRNA from 1 species